GGAAAACACACAUGCCACAGGGAAGCCCAUCUUUCUUGCCUGACGACGGGGCCUCAGGAGAUGAGUCUGUCCCGGCCUCUUGUUGGGACAGUCACUGGGGUUCUGCUGCAGUCCGGACUGGCUCAGAGAAAGCGGCCCAGGUCCCACUCCCUGCCUCCCCGACAGCUGUCCUGAGUUGAACCCCAGGCCUCACAGGGUGCUGAAUCCAACUGGUCUCCGAGAAGGACAAAAGACUGUGGGACUUUGGGGACAACAAUGAGGGAAAGAAGACUGACUCAGAGCUGCUCAUGUAUUUGCACCCACAGAUAUGUGUAUGUUGAACCCUACCGGGGAGAGAGAGACAGAGAGGGACUGAGGGGGGAAAGGAACAGUAAGGCUAUCUGUGACCACCGGAUCUGCAUGGAAGCUCCACAGGCCCCAAGGCCAGGCCUGAGAACGUGCUACACAUGACCCUUCGCUUGCCUUCUCUGCUGUCAACAGACAGGUCCCAGCCUUUUGGUCACACCAGCAAGAAUUUUCACUUCUUAUCUACCAAGAUAGUUUCCUUCCCAAUAUAAAUCUGGCCCCAACACUCACUCCAUUAAGUGAGGCCCAUAUAUGGCUCUGAAACUAUGACUUCAUUUUUUCCCUCUCUUCUCCCCAGAUCCUUUCACAGAAACAACAGGUAAAGACAGUCUACCUUAGUUUUUUUGGAGUUGUCAAGUGCACCCCUGUUUUCAAAUGGCCACACGGUGCAGGGAAGAUCUGUGCUGCUUCCACUGACAACAGAGACUGGCUGAAUUGUGCCCAGAGAGCCGUUCACUGUCUACAACAUCCACCACAGAGCUACACAGCAAGACAUCUCUCAGGAACCAGGGCCAGGCUGAGCCGUGGAUAUUAGGAUUUCUGGUAUGGGGAAGGCAGCAAACAGGACGUGGAGUUAGGACACAGGCAGCCAGAAGGGUCUCCCACACGAUGAACAGGAUUGUCCUGUUUGAAGCCACUCCUUCAGGCCCUCUGCAAACCCAGACACCUGCAGCCACGGCAGGACACUGCCCUUACCUGGGCCUCACUCAUUAUAACAGCUUAAAGGAAAAAAAUCUCACUUCUGUGAUCCAAAAGGGAUUUGUUUGAAUGUGGACUAUUUGAGGAUGAUAAUAAAACUCUUCUGGACCAGGGACGCCAAUCCACAAAUCCACCAAAAUAGCAGUAGAAAGACACAGAUCAUGAAUUAGACUAACAGCAGUUCCUUCAAAUAAGCUAAGGAAGGUCUCACCUUUAUUGAACCCUGAACUUAUCUGGUAUUUCAAGUAAGACAGCAACAAGAUGUUCCUUCUCUGUCCUCUCUUUGACGCUGAGACAUACAAUGAAGGGGAAAGUUCAGCCUAAUCCUAAAGGCAUUGACUGGAAGCAGGAAACAAGACAAGAGGUAGUUGCCAAGGAAGCCAGACACAGAUUGUACCACGGGCACCCCGCCUCCAACUCGAUUGUUAGAAGCAAUUCCCAGCUUGGUAACUCAUGGAAGCCACGGGCACUCCCGUUGAGAAGAUGGGAAUCCUUCCAGGGCUGGCCUGCCCAGAUAGCCAGUAGGGCUGGCUCCAAGCGCUGCCUAGGUUCUACUGCAAUGCCCCACACUCCCUCACCCCGGGGUGCCCACUAGAGCCCUCCUGUUCACCCCAAUUAUAAGAACACUCUCUCUCCAACAGACAGGUAAUUAAUCAAGGGAUAACCCCCAAGAAAGGGAAAAUAACACAAGAUCACAUCAGCUCACUGUUCUAAGUAUCCCCAGUGGAAUUCUGAAUUCCCCUUUAGUAGAGUCACUUAUGACAGGUGUGGCCGGUUUAGAGAUCCUGUUACCAGGGAGAGAAGUACAAGAUAUUCAGGGCCUGCUGAAGAAGACUGGCCAAGCAAACAGUGUUAUAAAACACCACGGGUAGAUUGCGCUUGUGGUUCAAACUGCAUUUUCCCAAACAGGCCAGAUUGGGAUAUGACAUCUAGGUUUUAUUUUAACUGGUUCUGCUGAGAAAACACCAGCCUCAUACCUAGCACAGUCAAGAGCCAUGGGUUAUGUUAUCCAAUAACACUGGGUUAGAUACUGUCAAAUGAUUAAGCCUUUGACUAGGGAAAUCAUACAAAGCAACAGUUCUGGUAAUUACCCACCGUCUGUACCUGGGCACCACCAGGGAGAUGUCAAAGUAACUUCCUUGCAUUUGGAAAUGCCCUCACCAGCCCCAUGCUCAAGAGUUCACUUUUAUUGUUGAAGUAAUAUUUUACAAAGGAAAUUACUAACUAGUCAUAAAGAGCAGAGAGUUAAAUAUUUAUAAGGACUCACAAUAUUAACAGAUUCACUUUCCCAAAAACAUAUUCAACAUAUCAGAGCUCUGCAUCCUUAGUAAAUGACCACUGUGAUUUUACACAGAAAAAGAGGGAAGCACUGGGUCCAUGUGUGACCUCUGCUAAGAGAUCCCACUGAAGCAGAUCCAAGAGACCCAGCUCAGAGUGGGGGCCCCUUCCAACUCCACCACCUUCUCCACGGCUCUCAGCAAGUUACUGGACUUCUUCCUGCCUGGUUCCAUCGCUACAAUGGGACCAGAAAUAGCAUCCACCUCACAGGUUUAUUAAGAGGAUGAAAGGAGUUAACAUGGGCAAGCCUUAGAACAGCCCAGCACAUAAUAAGCACUAUGUGAGCUACUACUGUUAUUGUUGUUUCUGGUUUUAUUAUUUGGUCAACACGGAUUAAAUGUCAUAGUGGUAUCAUAAACAAUGUUCAAGCCAAUUGAUCAUAUGUUUCAAAUAUGAGAGCAAAAAAGAAACAUCCUCUUCACUACUUUUUUUUUUUUUUUUGAGACAGAAUCUCCCUCGGUCGCCCAGGCUGCAGUGCAGUGGCAUGAUCUCAGCUCACCGCAACCUCCGCCUCCCGGGUUCAAGCAAUUCUCCUGUCUCAGCUUCCUGAGUAGCUGGGAUUACAGGCGUGCGACACCAUGACCAGCUAAUUUUUUGUGUAUUUUCAGUAGAGAUGGCGUUUCACCGUAUUGGCCAGGCUGGUCUCGAACUCCUGACCUUGUGAUCCGUCCACCUCCACCUCCCAAAGUGCUGGGAUUACAGGCGUGAGCCACUGCGCCCAGCUUUCACUACUUAUUAUUAAAUGAUAUUCCAGGAAAUUAUAUUUAUUUAAAACACACCGUUGAACACUGAAUAUCUGCCAGGCCUUCCAGAGGACAGAAUAUAUUAUAAGCCAAUGUUCCUACCCUCUAGGAGCUUACAGUCGAAUUGAGAAGAUAAAAAUGCACACACGGCCAGGCGUGGUGGCUCACGCCUGUAAUCCCAGCACUUUGGGAGGCCAAGGUGGGCGGAUCACAAGGUCAGGAGAUCGAGACCAUCCUGGCUAACACGGUGAAACCCCAUCUCUACUAAAAAUACAGAUUACCUGGGAGUGGUGGGGGGCACCGGUAGUCCCAGCUACUCAGGAGGCUGAGGCAGGAGAAUGGUGUGAACCCAGGAGGCAGAGCUUGCAGUGAGCCGAGAUCGCACCACUGCACUCCAGCCUGGGCGACAGAGGGAGACUCAUAGCAUUUCUUUGUAAUUGAUUUAUAAAUACCAAGAAGUAUGGGUAAGUUAGUAAGUGUUCUCACAAUUUAGAAAAUGGUAAGUAUGUGAGGUGAUGAAUAUGCUAAUUAGCUUGAUUUAAUCAUUUCACAACGUAUGCACCUAUCAAAGCAUCAUGUCUGUACACUGCAAGUAUAUAUAAUUAUUAUUUUUCAAUAAUACCUUAACAAAUCUCGGGGGUGGGGGGGAGGGAGAGGUGCCAAAUAAGCAAAUUGAUUUCAGCCUAAAACAAAAGACCUCAUGGAGACGGGGUUCAAGUUGGGCUUUGAAGGAUGGGCAGGACUAAGACAGAGGAAGCUUUGAGGAUGGGGGAUCCUGGGAAUGGCGUGAGCAGAACUCACGAGGCUAUCCUGAAGUUGAGAUGAGAGAUUGGGGUGCUUAGGAGCCUCAGGUCUGCAGUCUUGGGCUCCCAUGUCCUGGCUGAGUGACCAUGGGCCAGUUCCAUAAGCCUCUGCGGGCCUCCAUUCCUAGCGCUGGCUGGCAUCGGCAUUAUUCUGAAGACUGAACAAGAUAAAGCACGUUAGGAAAACACAGUGAGAACCAGGCAUCCUCAGGUAUUAAACAGAGUUAAAGAGACUCAUCUGUCUGCCAAGAGACCCACCUGUCUGCAGAAGAAGGCUGAAAUUGGAAAGUAGUGCAAGACCAAGUUGGAAAGUUACAAAGGAGGGCUGUAGUGAGCUCAGACUUCAUUCAGGGAGAGAUCUGAGCCCCCUGAGAAGAGUCAUUUUUACAGUGGCCUCUCCGAGCAGCAUGUAUACAGCAAGGUGGGAGAAUCUGGGGAAGGGAGUCCAGGAGAGGGUGCCAAAGGCUCCACAUGAGUGGAAAAGGCUGGGCCCGGGCACUCACCAUAGGGAUGGAAAAAAAAAAGGGUAAGGAUAAGAGACCAGAUUAGGUGGUGCCAAGUGUGGGAGAAAAUGAGAGGAGCUGAAAACCAACUCCACUCAUGCAAUGUGGUUUCCUAGAAGACAUGCUAGAAGAGACAGGGCAUUCGUGGAAAAAAUGGGGAGAUCUCAAUAAAGAUUGUCAUUAGCUACCUUGUACCAUUGCUGAUUUCUUAGUGUCGAGAAAUGCACAGGAAAAUGUCAACAUUGGAGGAAGCUGGGUGAAGGGUACAUGGGGAAAACUCUGUGCUUUCUUUGCAAAUCUGUAAAUUAAAAUUAUUUCAAAAC
rnacentral:lncRNA from 1 species